GAUUAACGCUGGCGGCGUGCAUAACACAUGCAAGUCGAAUGAUGAAACUUAAAUGAUUUCUUCGGAAUGAACUUAAGUGGAUUAGUGGCGGACGGGUGAGUAACGCGUGAGUAACCUGCCUUACACAAGGGGAUAGCCGUUGGAAACGACGAAUAAUACCCUAUGAAACUAUCACUUCGCAUGAAGCGAUAGUCAAAGUGUUAGCGGUGUAAGAUGGACUUGCGUCUGAUUAGCUAGUUGGUGAGAAAAAAGCCCACCAAGGCAACGAUCAGUAGCCGGCUUGAGAGAGUGUACGGCCACAUUGGGACUGAGACACGGCCCAGACUCCUACGGGAGGCAGCAGUGGGGAAUUUUGCACAAUGGGGGAAACCCUGAUGCAGCGACGCCGCGUGAUUUAGAAGGCCUUCGGGUUGUAAAAAUCUUUUGUAUAGGAAGAAAAUGACAGUACUAUACGAAUAAGGUCCGGCUAAUUACGUG
rnacentral:rRNA from 1 species